AUUGAACGCUGGCGGCAGGCCUAACACAUGCAAGUCGAACGAGUGGCGGACGGGUGAGUAAUGUCUGGGAAACUGCCCGAUGGAGGGGGCUAACUACUGGAAACGGUAGCUAAUACCGCAUACCAUCGGAUGUGCCCAGAUGGGAUUAGCUAGUAGGUGGGUUAACGGCUCACCUAGGCGACGAUCCCUAGCUGGUCUGAGAGGAUGACCAGCCACAAGGGAACUGAGACACGGUCCAGCCGCCGACGGUAGGCAGCAGUGGGGAAUAUUGCACAAUGGGCUCAAGCCUGAUGCAGCCAUGGCGCGUGUAUGAAGAAGGCCUUCGGGUUGUAAAGUACUUCCAGCGAGGAGGCGUUAUUCGCAGAAGAAGCACCGGCUAACGCCGUGCCAGCAGCCGCGGUAAUAG
rnacentral:rRNA from 1 species